GAUGAACGCUGGCGGCGUGCCUAAUACAUGCAAGUCGAGCGAACAGACGAGGAGCUUGCUCCUCUGACGUUACCGGCGGACGGGUGAGUAACACGUGGAUAACCUACCUAUAAGACUGGGAUAACUUCGGGAAACCGGAGCUAAUACCGGAUAAUAUAUUGAACCGCAUGGUUCAAUAGAGAAAGACGGAUUUGCUGUCACUUAUAGAUGGAUCCGCGCCGCAUUAGCUAGUUGGUAAGGUAACGGCUUACCAAGGCAACGAUGCGUAGCCGACCUGUGAGAGGGAUCGGCCACACUGGACCGAAAACACGUUCCAGACUCCUACGGAAGGCAGCAGUGGGGAAUCUGCCGCAAGGGGCGAAAGCCGGACGGAGCAACGCGGCGGGGGUGAUGAAGUUCUUCGAAUCGUAAAACUCUGUAAUUGGGAAAAAACAAAUGUGGAAGUAACCAUGCACGUCUUGACGGAACCUAAGCAGAAAGCCACGGCUAACUACGU
rnacentral:rRNA from 1 species